rnacentral:rRNA from 1 species
GUUCCUGGCUCAGGAUGAACGCUAGCUACAGGCUUAACACAUGCAAGUCGAGGGGAAACGACAUCGAAAGCUUGCUUUUGAUGGGCGUCGACCGGCGCACGGGUGAGUAACGCGUAUCCAACCUGCCCAUCACCUGGGAAUAACCUUGCGAAAGUAAGACUAAUACCCAAUGAUAUCCCACGAAGGCAUCCGAAUGGGAUUAAAGAUUUAUCGGUGAUGGAUGGGGAUGCGUCUGAUUAG